rnacentral:tRNA from 1 species
GCCGGUGUGGCUCAGUGGAUAGAGUGUCAGCCUGCGGACUGAGGGGUUCCAGGUUCGAUUCCGGUCAAGGGCA